UUGCUACUCUACUAUCAUGGCUAGCUCUCUUAGUGUGAAUACAUCGGGAAUUGGUAUUGGCAACCAAAUGGUCCUUGCUGACCUCCGUGAAGGGAGUACCGGCCCCAUCACGGUUAUGGUUUGCAGAAAGUGGGACGUCACAAGUGUCAAUGGACGCUACAUGAGCACCGACUAUGUCGUCAGUGAUAUAAAGGGAGGUGUGAUGCAUUGUACCGCCCGGAAUACACAUUGCACACUACUUCUUUGACAAGCUCAAAGAGGGCGGGAUAUAUUUACUCAAGGGUUUUAUAGUCCAGAGCACCGAUCAAUACCGGAUUCUAAAAGACAGCCCCUUUGUUAUCGGGUUAAAUGGCUCCACGACUGUUAAGAGGGUUGACGAUGCCAGUGGUUCAUUUACGCGCUACCCGUUCAUUUACGAUCCAAGUUAAAGUUCUGCCUAACAUUUCCUUUCUUUCUUUCCCAGCCCUACUUAUGAAGGUUCUGAUUCAGAUGGUUCUGUGGGUAGCGCUCCAGGUGAAAGCCCUACUUAUGAAGGUUCUUAUUCAGAUGGUUCUGUGGGUAGCGCUCCAGGUGAAAGACAAGAAACUACUAAGGGGAAGGGCGACUACAUGGGCAUGCAUUAGCGGCAGAAGAUUUCGUGAAUUAUUGAAUAAAACCAGAAGCUUUAUG